ACUCCUACGGGAGGCAGCAGUAGGGAAUCUUCCACAAUGGACGAAAGUCUGAUGGAGCAACGCCGCGUGAGUGAAGAAGGGUUUCGGCUCGUAAAACUCUGUUGUUAAAAGAAGAACAUAUCUGAGAGUAACUGUUCAGGUAUUGACGGUAUUUAACCAGAAAGCCACGGCUAACUACGUGCCAGCAGCCGCGGUAAUACGUAGGUGGCAAGCGUUGUCCGGAUUUAUUGGGGCGUAAAGCGAGCGCAGGCGGUUUUUAAGUCUGAUGUGAAAGCCUUCGGCUCAACCGAAGAAGUGCAUCGGAAACUGGGAAACUUGAGUGCAGAAGAGGACAGUGGAACUCCAUGUGUAGCGGUGAAAUGCGUAGAUAUAUGGAAGAACACCAGUGGCGAAGGCGGCUGUCUGGUCUGUAACUGACGCUGAGGCUCGAAAGUAUGGGUAGCAAACAGGAUUAGAUACCCUGGUAGGAUAGCC
rnacentral:rRNA from 1 species